rnacentral:rRNA from 1 species
UACGAAGGGGGCUAGCGUUGUUCGGAAUUACUGGGCGUAAAGCGUGCGCAGGCGGUUCGUUGUGUCGGCGGUGAAAGCCCCGGGCUUAACCUGGGAAUGGCCGUUGAAACUGGCGAACUGGAGUGUGGCAGAGGGGGGUGGAAUUCCGCGUGUAGCAGUGAAAUGCGUAGAUAUCAGGAGGAAUACCGAUGGCGAAGGCAGCCCCCUGGGUCGAUACUGACGCUCAUGCACGAAAGCGUGGGGAGCAAACAGG